rnacentral:lncRNA from 1 species
AUAUAUCGGAGAGUAUGUAAAGAAAGAGCAAGAAGGCAGAUAUAUGUACCUAACAUAUACCUCCUAUAUAUACAUUUUAUAUAAUAAAUAAUCGUCGUGUGGUGUCGUGUGCUGUCCUAAAAUUAGCGAUCAAAAUGGCGUUACGCACUUUCAGUAAAUUAGUGUUUUUGAUGCUAAUAGUUCAACUGGUCCAUAGUAACUUUGUGCUAUAUGAAGAUUUCGUGAAAAAAUACCAAAAAGGAGCGAUUUUCGUCACUGAUAGUUGCCCAAAGGGGAAGGUUUACCUGAAGUAUAAGAAUCGGCCGCAAUUUCGAUGUGUGAGGAUGUUUAUACAAAGCUGACGAAUCCAGAACCUACCAAUAUCAGCAACAUGCCAAUCAUCAUCAGAUCCAUCAGCAACCCUUCAUCCCUCGCAAAACUCACAGCACCAGCAUUUCUCUCGUUUUUUUUUUAACUUAAUAACUUAAUUUAUUUAUAUCGACAAUAAUUUAUUAGCUUUAUUAAUAAAGUAGUCUUGACUGUAUACAUAGAAGUACAAAGAUACAUUUUUCAAUGACUUGAUAAAAGAAUAUUUGUAUUAGAUUAAAUAUUUAUUUUUA